rnacentral:rRNA from 1 species
AUUGAACGCUGGCGGCAGGCCUAACACAUGCAAGUCGAGCGGAUGAAGGGAGCUUGCUCCUGGAUUCAGCGUCGGACGGGUGAGUAAUGCCUAGGAAUCUGCCUGGUAGUGGGGGAUAACGUCCGGAAACGGGCGCUAAUACCGCAUACGUCCUGAGGGAGAAAGUGGGGGAUCUUCGGACCUCACGCUAUCAGAUGAGCCUAGGUCGGAUUAGCUAGUUGGUGGGGUAAAGGCCUACCGAGGCGACGAUCCGUAACUGGUCUGAGAGGAUGAUCAGUCACACUGGAACUGAGACACGGUCCAGACUCCUACGGGAGGCAGCAGUGGGGAAUAUUGGACAAUGGGCGAAAGCCUGAUCCAGCCAUGCCGCGUGUGUGAAGAAGGUCUUCGGAUUGUAAAGCACUUUAAGUUGGGAGGAAGGGCAGUACGUUAGUACCUUGCUGUUUUGACGUUACCAACAGAAUAAGCACCGGCUAACUUCGUG